GUGCGUCCGUUCGUCCGUCUGUUCGUUCGUCCGUUCGUCCGUUCGUCCGUCUGUCCCGCUUCAGGUUAAAGUUUUUGGUCGAGGUAGUUUUUGAUGAAGUUGAAGUCCAAUCGACUUCAAACUUGGUACACAUGUUCCCUAUGAUAUGAUCUUUCUAAUUUUAAUGCAAAAUUAGAGAUUUUACCCCAAUUUCACGGUCCACUGAACAUAGAAAAUGAUAGUGCGAGUGGGGCAUUCGUGUACUGAGGACACAUUCUUGUUAUUCAUA
rnacentral:lncRNA from 1 species